rnacentral:lncRNA from 1 species
UUAAACUCUCCAAGACUCCCCUGAAACUCACUUAACUAUCCAUGCAAAGCAUGCAAAAGAAAGCUGGACAGGACACUUUCGGCGGCAGGUUCGGCGGCCGAAUGUCCUCUCCAGAGACGAAACUCAAGCACCUUCGGCGGCACCUUCGGCGGCCGAAUCCCCCAAACAGAGCCGAACAUGCAAAAACACUCGGGGGCAAGCUGUGGCAACCAUGUCACCAUGCAGGAGGUUCGGCGGCCGAAUGAACUUUCGGCUGCCGAACCUGAGUUCAUCCAGAACUCAGUUUCAAUGGCAAACCAUCUCCCUCUUUCCUUCAACUUCUCAAACCAUGCAAACUUCACUUCCUCAACAUACAUAUACUCAUGUAUAUGAUCACAGGGGUCCAAAACUAGCUAAUAACCCCAAACAACAAAACAAACAUACAUAUAAACAUGUAACCAUGCAUAAUUCUUUAAAACUACCAUUAAUACCCUAAGCAUGCAUCUCCUUCCUU